AGUGGGGAAUUUUCCGCAAUGGGCGAAAGCCUGACGGAGCAACGCCGCGUGAGGGAUGAAGGCCUCUGGGCUGUAAACCUCUUUUAUCAAGGAAGAAGAUCUGACGGUACUUGAUGAAUAAGCCACGGCUAACUCCGUGCCAGCAGCCGCGGUAAUACGGGAGUGGCAAGCGUUAUCCGGAAUUAUUGGGCGUAAAGCGUCCGCAGGCGGCCUGAUAAGUCUGUUGUCAAAGCGUGGAGCUUAACUCCAUUUCGGCAAUGGAAACUGUGAGGCUUGAGUGUGGUAGGGGCAGAGGGAAUUCCCGGUGUAGCGGUGAAAUGCGUAGAUAUCGGGAAGAACACCAGUGGCGAAGGCGCUCUGCUGGGCCUUAACUGACACUGAGGGACGAAAGCUAGGGGAGCGAAAGGGAUUAGAUACCCC
rnacentral:rRNA from 1 species